UGCGUGGAAGGCUAUGAGCGUAGGCUCGGCUGGAGCUUCCGUUCAGUGCAGAUCGUAAUGGUAGUAGCAAAUAUUCAAGUUCGAUCCUUGAAGACUGAAGUGGAGAAGGGUUCCACGUGAACAGUAUUUGGAUGUGGUCAGUCGAUCCUAAGGUACUGGCGAAAGCCUUGUAUCAUCGGUGGCGAAAAGCUUGCUUUUUGUCCCCGCCCGUCGAAAGGGAAUAGGGUUAAUAUUCCCUAACUGAGAUGCAAAGAUUGUGUUCUUCGGAGCACAAGCGCGGUAACGCGUUCGAACUUGGUAAGUCGCUCAGAGACCGAGCUAGAGUUUUCUUCUCUAGUUAAGGAACGGACUCCCUGGAAUUGGUUCAGCCAGAGAUGGGGACGUUGUUUCCGAAAAGCACCGCGGUUUCUGUGGUGUCUCGUGCUCUCUGAACGGCCCUUUAAACACCAAGGGAGGCUAUUAAUUUGCACUCAAUCGUACCGAUAUCCGCAUUAGGUCUCCAAGGUGAACAGCCUCUAGUCGAUAGAAUAAUGUAGGUAAGGGAAGUCGGCAAACUAGAUCCGUAACUUCGGGAAAAGGAUUGGCUCCAGUGGUCGGAACGGUUGGCCAGUUGGUUGAUGCUUGUCCGGCGCUGUUCUGUCUGCUUGAUGCUUUCGGGCUGAUGGCGGCCUAGUGAUAGUGCUUGCUUGUUGACGCUUUCUGGUGUGUGCUUUGACCUCGGUCUUAGUAUCCUGAUCGUUCAUCUAAACGACUAAACUGGAACCGGUACGGACUCAGGGAAUCCGACUGUCUAAUUAAAACAGAGGUGACAGAUGGUCCUUGCGGACGCUGACUGUCACUGAUUUCUGCCCAGUGCUCUGAAUGUUAAAUCGUAGUAAUUCGAGUAAGCGCGGGUAAACGGCGGGAGUAACUAUGACUCUCUUAAGGUAGCCAAAUGCCUCGUCAUUUAAUUGUUGACGCGCAUGAAUGGAUUAACGAGAUUCCUACUGUCCCUAACUACUAUCUAGCGAAACCACAGCCAAGGGAACGG
rnacentral:ncRNA from 1 species